UACAGAGGGUGCAAGCGUUAAUCGGAAUUACUGGGCGUAAAGCGUGCGUAGACGGUUACAUAAGUCAGAUGUGAAAGCCCCGGGCUCCAACCUGGGAAUUGCAUUUGAGACUGUGUGGCUAGGGUGCGGAAGAGGGAAGCGGGAAUUUCCGGUGUAGCGGUGAAAUGCGUAGAUAUCGGAAGGAACACCAGUGGCGAAAGCGGCUUCCUGGUCCAGCACCGACGUCAGGCACGAAAGCGUGGGGAGCAAACAGG
rnacentral:rRNA from 1 species